CUAGAUCAUUCAAAACUUAAUUCAUAAUUAAGUAUGUGAAACAUGUGUUUCAAUCUGUAGAACUAUUCUAUAAAGAUUUCAGGUGAAGCAUACCAUAUGUUUCAAUACAUAAAAAUAAAUUUUUAUAAUAUGUUUAAUAAUUAAACAUAUAUAGGUAUAAUCUAAACUUCAUACAUACAUCUCAUGUAUCAUAAUAACUUUUAGAUCAAUA
rnacentral:lncRNA from 1 species